GGUAGAAUUUUCAUAACGUAAAAUCCUGUCAUUGAACUCCUUACAAUUUUUCUACUACUUUUUGACUGGAUAUUAACAAAAUAUAAGAAGAAAGCUUAAAUUCAAGUCAUAUCGUUAUGUCUAGCUUAGGUACAGCUUGUUUUGGGAGAUAUAACUUUAUGAUGGCAUGAGCACUAUAUAUUAAAAACCACAACUUCGAAAAAAAAUUGACAUCCACAAGAAUAAAGAUUCAAGAUAUCUUCUUUGUUUUUUCAAAACUCCAAUAGAGCGUAACUGCAAAUGGGUGGCAAGUCUGAGUGUGGAAGGGGUUAUACCUUUAACAACCCGUUUCUUAAGCAGGACAUCGUUGAUAAUAUUACUUCUAAUAUAAAGGUUAAUACAACACUAUUCUCCUUCUUUUCCAUUUAAACAUACUUGAUACUCUUAAUAAGCCCCAGAUUGAAUUUGGGACUUUAAAAGGUAAGAGUAUUAGCAAAACAAAUCAACACAAUAGAAGUGUACAUGUUCACAUUUUAAUGAUAAUACAAAGAACAUAAGCUGAAUUUCGG
rnacentral:misc_RNA from 1 species